rnacentral:rRNA from 1 species
CCUACGGGAGGCAGCAGUGGGGGAUAUUGCACAAUGGGGGGAACCCUGAUGCAGCGACGCCGCGUGGGUGAAGGAGUGCUUCGGCAUGUAAAGCCCUAUCGGCAGGGAAGAAGCAAGACGGUACCUGACUAAGAAGCCCCGGCUAACUACGUGCCAGCAGCCGCGGUAAUACGUAGGGGGCGAGCGUUAUCCGGAUUCACUGGGUGUAAAGGGAGCGUAGACGGCCAUGCAAGCCAGGGGUGAAAGCCCGGGGCCCAACCCCGGGACUGCCCUUGGAACUGUGCGGCUAGAGUGCGGGAGGGGCAGGCGGAAUUCCUGGUGUAGCGGUGAAAUGCGUAGAGAUCAGGAGGAACACCGGCGGCGAAGGCGGCCUGCUGGACUGCGACUGACGUUGAGGCUCGAAAGCGUGGGGAGCGAACAGGAUUAGAUACCCCUGUAGUC